GUCGGUAAAAGAGUGCGGCAAUCACGGGAAGUACCGCCGGAAAAUCUUCCGUCGAAUCAUCGCCGGCAUCCUAAUUUUCAUUCUAAUCGUGCUGAUAACAAUUCUUCUCAUAUGGGCCAUCCUCCGUCCCAGCAAACCCAGGUUCAUCCUCCAAGACACCACUGUCUACGCUUUCAACGCCUCCACCCCUAACCUCCUCACCUCCAAUUUCCAAGUCACUCUAUCUUCUCGAAACCCCAACGACAGAAUCGGCAUUUACUACGACCGGCUCGACGUUUACGCCACCUACCAGAACCAACAAAUCACCCUCCGAACAGC
rnacentral:lncRNA from 1 species